UGCGCUCCAUAAUUUCUUACAUUAUUAAUCUUAACAUAAGACAAUAUAUAUGUCAUAUUGAUUUUACCAUUUUUAUUAAAGUGUUAUAAAAGAGUAAAUGCAUUCAUGUAGAGGCAAGAAUAUAAGUUAAACUAGUUACAUGAGAUGACAGCCUGAAUAACAGUCUCUCAAAGAUGUUCACGUCCUAGUCCAGGAAACUGUGACUGUGUUAUCUUACCUGGCGUAAGGAAUUUAGCAGAUGUUAUUAAGUUGAGGAUCUUGAGAUUAUCUCAUAUUAUUUGAGUGGAUCUGAUUUAAUCACAAGGGUCCUUUUAAGAGGGCAGCAGGAAGUCAGAGAGGAGAAAAGAUGCUUAGCUGCUGGUUUUGAAGAUUAGAGGAAGGAACCAAAGAAUGCAGGCAGCCUCUGAAAGCUGGAAGAGGCGCGGAAGCAGAUUCUUCCCGAAGUGUCCAGAAGACAUGCAGAGCAGCCAACACCUUGAGGUAUAGAAUGGAUUCCUUCAUCAG
rnacentral:lncRNA from 1 species